CUAAAAAUCACAAAUAUAAAACUAAAAAGGAAAAACCUAACCUCUUUUUUUUUUUGUCAGCACCUAAUACCUUAAUUGGAAAUUUAGAAUAUAAAACAUAAUCUAAAAACAUAAUACGGUAUCGGGUUUCGGGUUUUACUGGGCUUUUGCGGGUUUCUAAAUAUUGGGUUUUUCACAAAAUUCAAACUGGAUUUUUUCUGGGUCACCGGGUUUACCGGUUCAACCGCGGGUCCGGGUCGGGUUUCAAAACACUGCCUGCAUGGUAUGGUCAAUAAUUUAAACAUUACAAAUAUUUUUCUCAUUCCUGAAAUGGAGAGGCCUACAAGGAUGACGGAGCUACGGCCGAUUAGUCUAUGCAAUGUAAAAUAUAAGAUCAUUUCUAAGGUGUUAUGCCAGAGAUUUAAGACCUGCCUACCCACACUUAUUUCGGAAACACAAUCGGGUUUGGUUUUGUACCUGGAAGGUUGAUUUCAGACAAAAUCCUUAUAUCACAAUAGAUUUUUCAUGGUUUAAUGACUAAUAAGUUAUGCAAGAACAAGUUUAUGACCAUAAAAACAUAUAAGCGUCCCAAAUUGCGAACAUUAAAAAUGUUGAGGGAGAGAAACAACUAACAUGAAUAAAGGUUGCAAGGGUAUGCCCUUCGAUUGCUAUUUGCAGAUGAUAGUCUUUUUUUGGUAAGACACAAAAAUAGGAGUGUCAAACUAUUAUCAGGAUUUUAUAAGAGUAUGAGGAAAUAUCGGGCCAAAUGAUAAAUUUCCAAAAAAUUUAUAUUCAAUUUGGACAGAAGAUUGAGGAAUCCAUUCGGCAGAAGCUUGGGGAUAUUUUAGGGAUUUAGAACAUAGAUGGGAUGGUUCAUAUUUGGGAAUGCCAUAAAAAAUUUGGGGGAUCAAAGACACAAGUUUUUUGUUUUAUCCAAGACCGUUUAAAUAAUCUGGCUAAUGGAUGAACUUUUCAAUUAUUCACCAAAUGGGGAAAGAAAUUGAUUCUAAAAUCAGUAUUUACUGCUUUACCAAAUCACAUAAUGUCUUGUUUUCGUCUACCAAAGGUCGUAACAAAUAAAUUGACGAGUGCAGUGGCACAAUUUUGGUUGAGUUUAAAGGAAAAUACAAAAGGCAUGACUGGAAAUCAUGGGAAAAAUUAUGCAAUCCCAAGGAUGAAGGAAGCAUGUGGUUUAAAGAUCUUACAAAUUUAAACAAGACCAUAAUUGGAAAGCAAUUUUGGCGCUUGAUAAAGAAAUCAACUGCAUUAUUUCCUCGCGUAUUCAAAGGACAGUACUCCAGGAACGCCUCCCCCGGAAACCAAUUAGAUCAUAUUCACCGUCAUAUGGCUGGCGCAGUAUCGUCUUUGCUAGAUCUCUGGUUAGCUAAAGACUAAUCAAAAAGUUUGGAUCAAGAUCAUCUAUUUCAGUAUGGAAUAAUCUUUUGCUUCCAACCAAUCGCCCAAGACCAUCAAAUAGAAAUUAACACAACCUUUACCCUGAUCUUACAGUGAAUUUUUUUUUAUCAAUGUAACUUCGCAAACAUUGAAUUUACAAGCAAUUCAGGUUUUUUUUUGUGGAUCCCAAUGAUGUAAAGAUUAUAGAAAGCAUACCAUUGAGCUGGACAAAGACAAAAGAUAAAGAUGUAUGACACUUCACCUAAUGGGAAGUACACAUGAAAUAUGGAUAUAUACAUAUUUCAAAUGAACUAAAUUAAGGAAAUAAAACUAAUAAAACUUAGUUCUAACUAGAAUUAAAAGUAAUAGUGCUUUGAUUUAAAAAAAAAUAUGUGUAACUCAGUAUAACCCGCAAAAUGAGCAACUUAAACAAUCUAAGUUUUUAUGGCCAAAUCAAAAGUCUAAAUGCAAAAAAAAACUAAUAAAAUUUAAAUCUAUUUCAGCACAAAAAAAUAUUACGGUUAAAUUUAGAGAAAUAAAUACAAUUCAAUAUAUUCAAGUAAUAACCAAUUCAACUAGAUAUUAUAUAUUCAAAUUACAUAUCUAAUUAAAAUAAUAUAAUAUUAUUCAUAAAAUAAUUAAAAUUUAAAUUAGAUACUAAUAAUUUUUUAAUAUAUUUAUUUUGUAAAAAUAUAUGUCCCUGCAUGAACACAAAAAAACACUUUUAUAUAGAGAAAUUAGGUGGGAUAUACACGAAAGAAGCCGAAAUUAGCUAAAUACCCGUUCCUUUGACCAAAAAAAAAGAGCUAAAUACCCGUUCCCUGUUUAGACCUCUAUGCACUUUAACACCCCUAUUCUCCCUAUAAUCCUAUGUAAUCCUAUGAUAGAUUUGCUGUCAGAAAUAAGAAGAUGUCGAUACGUAUAUCUUGAUAUAAUUAUUAAACCUACUCUAUACAAAUACUGAAAAGAGAAGUGAAAAGUCGAUAUUCACAUAUCUUAAAAAAUAGCUUUUUGUAUUCAAGAGACAUAUCUUCCCCAAGCGAAAGACAUCCGCGAGCAUCUUAUGGGAACACUAUGAAUGUUUCUUCAAGCGUACUACUUAUUCAUGAUCGUGUUUGAUUCACGCUCACCGCACCAAUUUGAUAGAACUCAAGUAUAUUUCUACCAAAAACAGAGGUGGACAGCUCGUUAGCUUCUCACGUGACAAUUCCUUUGCUCUUAUGAUCAUACCAAUCUCACACCGAUGCGUCUAUUUUUUUUUAAAGAGAUCUCUAACUUAUAUCUGAGAUGAAUCUAAAUACACAUACCACUAAUUGAGCACUUUUAUUGGUGAUCUCCUAAGAGCUUCAGAGACUUUUUUAUAUGAAAUAUGAUGAGAGAUUUUUUUUUUUUUGUG